UUGGAAUAUGGUCGGAUGAGAGGCAGAAUGUUACGAUAUCGGGAAAGUGCAGCGAAACGUUUAUACCAGAUGGAAUGAAACACGCGAAAUAGCCGGCAUGAGUAGAACCAAGUGGAAAUACGAGCUCGACAAAAAGAGGCAAUUACAUUUUCGAUGGUUUGCAGAGGUUGAAUGAACGAGAGGGCAUGAGUUUAUGGGCAUCGUUCGACGAACUUGAGAAUUUCGUCGUUAAGUUUAUGGUCCUAUAUUCAGGAGUCGGUAUCAGACACAUUGUACAGUUCGUCGACGUAGAGUAGCGAACGAUGCUUUUAGUAUACUAAAUCCUUAUGUAUUCAUCGUUUGAGAUUGAAAACGAGAAAAAAAUGGGAGAGAAGAGGAGUGGCAAGAAGGUGUAGGAAGAGUAGGAAAGAAAAAAGGAGGGAAGAAAAGGAAGAAAGAUGGAAGGGUGAAGAGCUAAAGAAAGAAACCAGAGGAAAAAGGAUAGGAGUGAGCUAGAGGGAAAAAAGGAAAGAAUGGAAAUGAGGUGUAACAAGGAAUGGAAAAGGAAAGAAACUAAUGGUAGGAGG
rnacentral:misc_RNA from 1 species